rnacentral:rRNA from 1 species
GAUGAACGCUGGCGGCGUGCUUAACACAUGCAAGUCGAACGGGAAUUAUUUUAUUGAAACUUCGGUCGAUUUAAUUUAAUUCUAGUGGCGGACGGGUGAGUAACGCGUGGGUAACCUGCCUUAUACAGGGGGAUAACAGUCAGAAAUGGCUGCUAAUACCGCAUAAGCGCACAGAGCUGCAUGGCUCAGUGUGAAAAACUCCUGUGGUAUAAGAUGGACCCGCGUUGGAUUAGCUGGUUGGUGGGGUAACGGCCCACCAAGGCGACGAUCCAUAGCCGGCCUGAGAGGGUGAACGGCCACAUUGGGACUGAGACACGGACCAGACUCCUACGGGAGGCAGCAGUGGGGAAUAUUGCACAAUGGGGGAAACCCUGAUGCAGCGACGCCGCGUGAAGGAAGAAGUAUCUCGGUAUGUAAACUUCUAUCAGCAGGGAAGAUAGUGACGGUACCUGACUAAGAAGCCCCGGCUAACUACGUG